rnacentral:tRNA from 1 species
AUCAGUAUGGCAGAUUAGUGCAAUGAACUUAAAAUUCAUAAAUGAAUAUUUAUAUUUUACUGGAA